GCAGGAGUGGCCAAACGGCUAAGGCGAGCGCCUGCAGAGCGCUAGAUUGGGGGUUCGAAUGUGAAACUGUGUUUCACACAUAAAAAAAUGCAGUUUUACUGAAUGUCCCUCCUCCUGCU
rnacentral:tRNA from 1 species